UUUUAAUUUUCUGAUUUAUUGACCAAAACAGUCUUAGAAAGAAGAGAACCAGGAGAUAGGUUUUAGAUUGGGGAUUAACAACUGGCGCUAAGCAACCUGUAGUUUGUACAGAUGCUCAAAAGAAAAAAUGACAAAAGUAAAAUUAAAAGCAAUGUAUAAUAAUUAGGAUGUGGGAGAGACUUCUGGUUGCCUAUGGAAAUAUUCUUCGUUAGUACCAGAAUCCCGGACAAUAAGCCAAAGUGAAGAACCACACUCCCAGAAUUGGCAGAUGGGGUGGCCAGAGAUUUGUAGGUCCUUCUAGUUCCUCUACUUGGGAUGCCGCCACAGCAUGGCUUGAUGAGCGGGACAUAGGUCUGCGCCCAGGAUCCGAACCAGCGAUCCCCAGGUUGCCAAAGUGGAGAACGUGAACUUAACCACCCAGCCACGGGGCCAGCCCCUUAACCAUUCUCUUUUAUCCAAAAAAGUUUUUAAAGGAUUCAGGGUGGGGAGGAAUUCUCCUUAAAAGCUUUAUUUUAGGAAAAGGCACAAGAUAAUAAAAAAAAGUUUACUAGGUGCCAGCACUGUUUUAAGUGGUUUAAAUUUAUAAACUCCUUUAACUAUAAGAUAUCUCUAUGAAUACCUUUCUCUUAUUACUUCCACUUUAUCGAUGAGGAAAUGGAAGUACAAUGGGGCUAAUUUGCCCAAAGUCAUAAAGUUAGUUCAUGUUAGAGCUAGGAUUUGAACCCAAGAAGUCCGGCUUCAGAAGCAACAAUUUUAA
rnacentral:lncRNA from 1 species